rnacentral:piRNA from 1 species
UGUGACUGCCUUUCAAAUUCA